GUCUACUGCCAUACCACGUUGAAAGCACCAGUUCUCGUCCGAUCACUGAAGUUAAGCAACGUCGGGCUCGGUUAGUACUUGGAUGGGUGACCGCCUGGGAACACCGAGUGCUGUAGACU
rfam:Lottia gigantea unplaced genomic scaffold LOTGIsca_64, whole genome shotgun sequence.